ensembl:lncRNA
UUCUGCUCUGGUGACAAGGCUGGGAUCAGUCACAGGUCGGACUCGAUGAUCUCAGAGGUCGUUUCCGGCCUCAGUGAUCUGUGAUUCUGUGAUUUUCUGCCCUAUCUAUUCUAGACAUAACUUGGAGGAUCCCCUGCAUUUCCAGGCUGUCACAGUGGCGUUGUUCUUUCUUUCCUUUUCAGAAAUUCCCCAUUUCUCAUCCCUCCAGAUCCGGAUGAUCUGCUGCCGGUGACGCUCGUGGGGGAAGUAGGGUCUUGGUGGCCUUUCCUUCACCCCAUGUUUGAUGGCAUUGCUCUCUCAGCAGCCCAGUGCUGAUGACUAACAGUUCCUGGUGAAGCACCAAGUGUGCUGCUUUGUGUUUUUUUCAAGAAUUUUUCCAGCUGGCGAGGCGUGACCUUGGAUAUUUCACAUGUGGGAACGUGGCCGGAACGCGCGGCGUGACUCACAUUGACCUCAACAGGUAAAUCCCAAAUUGCUCUGUGGAAAUUUAACCAAUAUCACCGGUUUAUCAUGUCCAGAGAUGGGUUAUUAGUCAUGAAUUGGUGUCAUUGGGAAUUUGAUGUGACUUCUAAUGUGACACAGAGUGAGAGUUACAUAAGUUCUUAGAAGGUCCAGAACUUCCACGUGAUCUAAAUGAAGCUGGAACUGUCUGGAAUUGCCACAUGAAAGAAUCCGGUGAUGGAGACUUCUUCCCCUCUGCAGAUUCAGUUUUGGUGAUAAACUUAACUGAGAAAUAUUUGCACAUUUUAAUGGCACACAAACCUACAUUAACCUCCCAAUAUCUGCAAUUCUGUUGCAGCCCAAGGCAGAGAUUGAAUAAUAACCAAAUUUAAUAACCCUCCUGGAAUUCCAGGGUGCCCUCUGCCAACCUUGAAGAGCCAGCUGUGCUGAAUCCAUUAUUUUCCAUGUGUUUUACCAUUUUAAACCUCUCUCUGAGGUGUGUGAGGAGUCGUGGGUGAGGUCAGUGAUGCUGCCAUCAUCCACAUGGGGCUUUUCCCACUCCACAGAGCAAACAGAGGUGUUGUUAUAUUGUCAUCUCUUUCAUUCUCCCCUGAAAUCAGUGAUUGGCAGGAAUUUUAUGAGGCUCACAGCACUGUCCUUAGAGAAACCAGCGGGAUCUUGGCACUGGUGUCUCAGGACUGGGGACUCUUCCCUCCAGGUGAUGAUUCCUCAGAGGGAACAGGCGAUCCAAUCUCCUUCUCCUGACUUCAUAUGGAGACCCCAAGAAAAAAAUCAUGGAAUCAUGGAGUGCUGGUGAAAUCCUGUCUCAGCAGCAGCAGCAGCAGUGCCAUCGGUGAGUCACAGGGAGAGUGUCACAGCUGGGCUGGGCAGGAGCUGGCACAGGUGGUGGCACUGCUGGCACGUGUCCCUGACCUGGCCAAGGACAGGGGGAGCCCAGGGCCACCCCCAGCAUGGGGGUGAUGCUCCCUGGGGGACGUGGCACUGUCCCCUUCCUGCUGCACCUGGGGACACCCUGGGCUGGGCUCUUGGUGCCUGACAGUGGCAGGAGGAGCCCCAGAGGGACAACCAUGGCUGACGCAAUAAAUCAGGAGGAUUCAGGCA